CUUUUAUCCGUGAGGUAGAACAGUUUAAAGGCAUCAAUGCAUGUACGUAACACUAUGAAUUGCAGGUUUUAUGUGUGUUAGUUUGAAACCACAGAUUUUUAUUGUAAAGUAUUUCAUGUUUUUCACUUGUUCUGUACCCAACAUGGAAAAGAUAUGUGAAAUGCCAUCUCACCUCAUUGACCACAGCUACAGCAGAAGAGAACUCACCAUGAGUGGGAGCAGCACAAACGUGACAAAGAGGCUCACGGGAGCAUCAACAGAAAGAGCGCUUUCAUGGUGCUGCUGUCCAGUCAGACAAGAGCCCCAGUCACCAGCAUGUCACAUCUCAUCAGGAGAAUGUUCUUUCAUAGAAUGUCUUCAUUUGUCCACACCACUGAUCUGGCCUCUGUAGACUAUAGCGCAGCCAUUUGCAUUUCUGCAGGGAUCAAAAACAUCUACCGAUAGACUGUUGAAAUGAAAUGUGGAGCUGUGAAUGUCUUGUAUGAACCUUACACACAUCGGACCAGCCAGAAUGGGAUCAAUUUCUUGUUAGCUAAAUGUCUUUUUAUCUCAUUUCUUUUCAGAUGCAAUGAGAUAUCAU